UAGGGAAUCUUCCGCAAUGGGCGAAAGCCUGACGGAGCAACGCCGCGUGAGUGAUGAAGGUCUUCGGAUCGUAUAACUCUGUUAUUAGGGAAGAACAAAUGUGUAAGCAACUAUGCACGUCUUGACGGUACCUAAUCAGAAAGCCACGGCUAAUUACGUGCCAGCAGCCGCGGUAAUACGUAGGUGGCAUGCGUUAUCCGGAAUCAUUGGGCGGAAAGCGCGCGUAGGCGGUUUUUUAAGUCUGAUGUGAAAGCCCACACCUCAACCGUGGAGGGUCAUUGGAACCUGGAAAACUUGAAUGCAGAAUAGGAAAGUGGAAUUCCAUGUGUAGCGGUGAAAUGCGAAGAGAUAUGGAGGAACACCAGUGGCGAAGGCGACUUUCUGGUCUGUAACUGACGCUGAUGUGCGAAAGCGUGGGGAUCAAACAGG
rnacentral:rRNA from 1 species